rnacentral:rRNA from 1 species
GGGAAGGAUCAUUAUCGAAAUCGAAAGCCUAGGAGAAAGGGGGGGGGAUGCGGGGCUGUCGCUGGCCUCUUUGGCAUGUGCACGCGUUGGUCCCUCUCCCGCCUUCGAAGCUUUCAACUUCUCAACACCUGUGUGCACCCGCUGUAGGUCCUUCGGGACCUAUGUCUUCUCUUCCGAACUCGCAUGUCUACAGAAUGUGUAUGCGUCGCGUUGGCGACUGCGAAACCUUUGUACAACUUUCAGCAAUGGAUCUCUUGGCUCUCGCAUCGAUGAAGAACGCAGCGAAUCGCGAUAAGUAAUGUGAAUUGCAGAUUUUCCGUGAAUCAUCGAAUCUUUGAACGCACCUUGCGCUCCUUGGUAUUCCGAGGAGCAUGCCUGUUUGAGUGUCAUCGAAAUAUCGGACCGAAUGACUUCGAUGCUGUCGGAGCUCGGUUUCGGAUGUUGGGAGUGGUGCGGGCGGCAACGUCGGCUCUCCUCAAAAGCAUUAGCUGUGGGCGCGAGCCUCGCAUGGCACGGCCGCUUUGACGUCGUAAUGAUCGUCGUGGGCUUGGAAGUGCGUGGGUUGACGUGUCUCCACGCUUCGAAACCUUCUGCGAGUCCGUCCGUCGUCCGGACGGUCGCACGUAUCGAUGCUUGACCUCAAAUCAGGUAGGACUACCCGCUGAACUUAAGCAUAUCAAUAAGCGGAGGAAAAGAAACUAACGAGGAUUCCCCUAGUAACUGCGAGUGAAGCGGGAAAAGCUCAAAUUUCGAAUCUGGCGGUCCUUGGCCGUCCGAGUUGUAAUCUAGAGAAGCGUCUUCCGCGCCGGACCGUGUACAAGUCU